GCCCUUGCAGAUCAGUGGUCGAGCGUUGGCUUUAAAUGCCACAGGUCGGUGGUUCAAACUCACCCGGGCGCA
rnacentral:tRNA from 1 species